GAUCAUGGCUCAGGAUGAACGCUGGCGGCGUGCUUAACACAUGCAAGUCGAACGAGCGAGAGAGAGCUUGCUUUCUCGAGCGAGUGGCGAACGGGUGAGUAACGCGUGAGGAACCUGCCUCAAAGAGGGGGACAACAGUUGGAAACGACUGCUAAUACCGCAUAAGCCCACGACCCGGCAUCGGGUAGAGGGAAAAGGAGCAAUCCGCUUUGAGAUGGCCUCGCGUCCGAUUAG
rnacentral:rRNA from 1 species